CCCCGCCAUGGCUGGGAAGGACAGUGGCAACCUGAAGACGGUGAGGUUGUGGCGGGACGCCGCCCUUCGCGCCAGGAAGCUGAGGAGCAACCUGCGACAGCUAACCCUUAGCGCGGCUGGGGGCUGCCCCGGGGCCGGAGCCGGAGCGGAUCCGCUCGAGUCCCCAGACGCUCCCCAGCUAGUGCUGCCAGCCAACAUCGGGGACAUCGAGGUGCUGAACCUAGGGAACAACGGCCUGGAGGAGGUGCCUGAAGGGCUGGGGUCGGCGCUUGGCAGCCUACGCGUCCUGGUCCUGCGCAGGAACCGCUUUGCCCGGCUGCCCCCUGCGGUGGCCGAGCUUGGCCACCAUCUCACGGAACUGGACUUGAGCCACAAUCGGCUGACAGCCCUGGGCGCGGAGGUGGUGAGUGCCCUAAGGGAGCUGCGCAAGCUAAACCUCAGCCAUAACCAGCUGCCUGCUCUGCCCUCCCAGCUGGGCGUCCUGGCCCACCUGGAGGAGCUGGAUGUUAGCUUCAACCGACUGGCGCACCUGCCCGACUCACUCUCUUGCCUCUACCGCCUGCGCACCCUCGAUGUGGACCACAACCAGCUCACUGCCUUUCCCCGGCAGCUGCUGCAACUGGCGGCCCUGGAGGAACUGGACGUGUCCAGCAACCGGCUGAAAGGCCUACCUGAUGAUAUCAGUGCCCUGCGUGCCCUCAAGAUCCUCUGGCUGAGUGGGGCCGAGCUUGGCACUCUGCCCAUCGGCUUCUGCGAGCUGACCAGUUUGGAGAGCCUCAUGCUAGACAACAACGGGCUGCAGGAUCUGCCCACCCAGUUCAGCCAGCUGCAAAGACUCAAAAUGCUCAAUCUCUCUUCCAACCACUUUGAGGAGUUCCCUGCAGCUCUGCUGCCCCUGGCUGGUCUGGAGGAGCUUUACCUUAGUCGCAAUCAGCUCACCUCAGUGCCAUCCCUUAUCUCGGGGCUGGGAAGGCUUCUCACUCUGUGGCUGGAUAAUAACCGCAUCCGAUACCUGCCCGACUCCAUUGUGGAACUGACCGGCCUGGAGGAGCUGGUGCUGCAAGGGAACCAGAUAGCGGUGCUUCCUGACAACUUUGGCCAGCUCUCCCAUGUGGGAUUGUGGAAGAUCAAGGACAACCCACUGAUACAGCCCCCUUACGAGGUCUGCAUGAAGGGGAUCCCCUACAUCGCGGCCUACCAGAAGGAGCUGGCUCAUUCCCAGCCAGCCGUGCAGCCCCGUCUCAAGCUGCUCCUGAUGGGGCAUAAGGCUGCAGGAAAGACCUUGCUCCGACACUGCCUCACCGAGGAGAUAGUGGAGGGAAGCCAUGCAGGAGGGGACAAACAGAAGAACUACUCACCUUCCCCUCCUGCCAGUAGCAAGGGUAUUGAGGUGACCAGCUGGACAGCUGAUGCCUCCAGGGGUCUGAGGUUCAUCGUGUAUGAUUUAGCUGGUGAUGAAAGCUAUGAGGUGAUCCAGCCCUUCUUUCUCUCUCCAGGAGCCCUGUAUGUGCUGGUAGUCAACUUGGCCACCUAUGAACCACGCCGCUUUCCCAGUACUGUGGGCUCCUUCUUGCAUCGGGUGGGGGCCCGGGUACCUCAUGCUGUGGUGUGCAUUGUGGGCACGCAUGCAGACCUAUGUGAGGAUCGGGAGCUGGAGGAGAAGUGUCUGGAUAUUCACCGCCAGAUUGCCCUGCAGGAGAAGCACGAUGCCGAGGGCCUGAGCCGUCUAGCCCGGGUGGUGGAUGAGGCCUUGGCCCGGGACUUCGAGCUGCGCUCUGCCAGCCCCCAUGCAGCCUACUAUGGUGUUUCUGACAAGAACCUUCGUCGACGCAAGGCCCAUUUCCAAUACCUGCUCAACCACCGGCUGCAGAUCCUCUCUCCGGUAUUGCCUGUUAGCUGCAGGGACCCCCGCCAAUUGCAGCGCCUUCGGGACAAGCUGCUUUCUGUAGCUGAGCACCGAGAAAUCUUCCCCAACUUACAUAGAGUCCUGCCGCGAUCCUGGCAGGUGCUGGAGGAACUGCAUUUCCAACCACCACAGGCACAACGACUUUGGCUAAGCUGGUGGGACUCUGCACGCCUGGGCCUGCAGGCAGGGCUGACCGAGGACCGACUGCAGAGUGCUCUUUCCUACUUGCAUGAGAGUGGCAAGCUGCUCUACUUUGAGGAUAGCCCGGCCCUCAAGGAGCACGUCUUCCACAACCUCACCCGCCUCAUUGACAUCCUCAAUGUCUUUUUCCAGAGGGAUGCUUCCUUGCUGCUGCAUAAACUGCUACUAGGGACCAGUGGAGAGAGUGAGGGGGAGGGGGAAAGCUCCCCAGUGAUGUCGCUGCCCACCCAGAGCCAGGACCUGCUCCGGGCCACCCAGCUCCAUCACUAUGUGGAGGGCUUUCUGCUGCAUAGGCUCCUGCCAGCCCAUGUCAUUCAGUUGCUGCUUAAGCCUCAUAUCCAGGCUCAGCAGGACUUGCAGCUGCUGCUGGAGCUGCUGGAGAAGAUGGGACUCUGUUACUGCCUCAAUAAACCCAAGGGCAAGCCUUUGAAUGGGUCCACAGCUUGGUACAAGUUCCCAUGCUAUGUGCAGAACGAGGUGCCCCAUGCAGAGGCAUGGAUUAAUGGGACCAACCUAGCGGGGCAGUCUUUUGUGGCUGAGCAGCUGCAGAUUGAAUAUAGUUUUCCCUUUACCUUUCCACCUGGGUUGUUUGCACGCUACAGUGUCCAGAUCAACAGCCAUGUGGUGCACAGGUCAGAUGGUAAAUUUCAGAUCUUUGCAUAUAGAGGAAAAGUUCCUGUGGUGGUGAGUUACAGACCUGCCAAGGGGGUUCUGCAACCAGAUACCCUGUCCAUUGCCAGCCAUGCAUCAUUACCAAAUAUAUGGACCGCAUGGCAAGCCAUCACCCCCUUGGUAGAGGAACUGAAUGUCCUACUUCAGGAAUGGCCUGGACUGCACUACACCGUGCACAUCCUCUGUUCUAAGUGCCUUAAGAGGGGGUCGCCCAAUCCACACGCUUUCCCAGGGGAAUUGCUGAGCCAGCCCAGACCAGAAGGAGUGGCAGAAAUCAUUUGCCCCAAGAACGGCAGCGAGCGAGUGAAUGUUGCCUUGGUUUACCCACCUACGCCGACUGUGAUCAGCCCCUGUUCCAAGUACCUUCAUACUUUCUUGGAAAAUUAAGUGGAAAAGAUAGUGCUUCUUUCCCUUAUGCCAUCAUUUUUACUGUACCCAAUCUGUGACUUUAGGAGCACCAAGUAUUAAGGGAAGAACGUUGGUGAAAAGCACAGAAACCAGUGACUUGUGGACUGUGGGAUUUCCAUGGAGAAAAUAGAGCAUCACCACUCACCUGGGAACCCUCUGCACCUCCAAGCACAGGCUGGGCACUGGAGUGAAGACCAGCUCAGGGUGCUUCCAGAGGACCACCGCAGAGGUCUGGAGGGGGCGGAGGAAGGACAGAGAGAGCAUGGAGCUAAAGUUUCACAACCGGAACCUCAGAACUGUGAUCCUCCAAGGAGAGCGCUACUUGAAGAAAAGAAAAAAAAAAUAAGUCGAAUGGCUUCUCAGGGAUUUUGUUUUCCGUGCACAUAUAAGCCAUAGUUACAGUACAGUGGCAGUAUUUAGAGCACUCGGGUUUCAGUUCUGUUCAAUGUGAAAGAGGAAUCAACUGACAUUCAUUGCUGUUCCGUAACUAGUGUAAAAUAUGUAUAUGUUUAUCUUUAUUUUUAUAAUAUGCAAAUACAUUUAAAUUUAUACCGUU